GUCCACGCCGUAAACGAUGGGCACUAGGUGUGGGUCUCUAACCAACGAGAUCUGCGCCGUCGCUAACGCAUUAAGUGCCCCGCCUGGGGAGUACGGUCGCAAGACUAAAACUCAAAGGAAUUGACGGGGGCCCGCACAAGCAGCGGAGCGUGUUGCUUAAUUCGAUGCUACGCGAAGAACCUUACCUAGGUUAAAUCAUUGGGAAAAGCCACAGAGAUGUGGUGUCCUUCGGGGCUCAAUGAAGGUGGUGCAUGGCUGUCGU
rnacentral:rRNA from 1 species